GGCGUAGGUAGGAGCUGACGUCAGCGGGCGGCGCGCUGUCUGCACUGCGGCUUCCACCGCUUUUUCAGAGCCGGGGUUACUGGCGGCGGGGGUAGCCCUGUUGCCGUUUUACGCCCAGCGGGCUCCUCGUAGCGCGGGAAGCCGCUUCGCAUUGUCCCGGGGUUGGCUCUGGCGAGACGGGCUGUCUGCCGUACUGCGCUCUCCUACCCUCUUUUCUGUCCAAAAUGCCCUGAUACCAAAGGAAAAGGAAUAUGGACCCCAGGGAUCUGGAGCCUUAACUGAUCAUUGCUGAGCCAACUCAAAUUAUGUUUCUCUUUUCUUUUUAAUGUCUUCAGUUUUACUCUUAAAAAUCUAUGCAUAGCAUGUUCUAAUGUGAGAAUUGUUUGUUUUGGACACACCUCCAUCUCUUUGAGUAAAAUUGGAAACUCAGGCUCCUGAUUGAAUUAAUGCUUUAUGUUACAACGCAGUGUUCCCCAUAAAGCUGAGAUAUGCUCACCGGUGAGACUUGCAUGAAAUUUGAGAGUGAAGCCAAAGUAAAAACCAAAGUUUGUUUUGAGGAAUUGCUUAAGACCCACAGUGACCUAAUAUGCGAAAGAAAAAAACUGAAGAAAAACAUUGGCAAAUCUAGAGGAAAAAUCUCACUUGACACUGUUAGAAGCAAUCUUCAGAAAAUUGAGGAAACUAAAAGUGAAGUAGUUGCUGCUAACACUAAAAACCCAGAGAAGAGAUUGCCAGUCUCUAAAAGCAAACCAAGCAAUUCACAGUCAACAGCUGAAAAUCCAGAUGGUGACAUAAGUGUAGAGAAAGACAAACAAGAAAAGGAAAAUAAGAAGGUUAAAAAGAUAGUGUGCCAAGAAAUGGAACUGGAAACUCCUGGGAAGAAGGUGGAGAAGGCACAGCCAGGUGUUCAUCAGAAAAAUGAGAUGGCAAGCAAAGAAAAAGAAAAUAAUAAUUUAGAUGAGGAAGAAGUACUGAAGCAAGUAUACCACUCCCAGGUAGCUGAAGAAAUGGCAAAGGAGAUUAAGAAGAAAAUAAGAAAGAAGCUCAAAGAACAGUUGACUUACUUUUCCUCAGAUACUUCCUUGCAUGAUGACAAAUUGAGCAUUGAAAAAAGGAAAAAGAAAAAAAAGAAAGUUCCAAUCCUGUCUAACGCUGAAACAAGUACAUUGCCCAUCUCUGAUGUCACAAUUGAAGGUAAACAAAAGAAGGAAUGUCCAGUUGGAACAGUUUCUUCAGAUUCUCAUCAAAACGAUGAAAUAACCUCAGUGAAACAAAACAUAGAAGACAGCAUGCAAGAUGACACAACAUCCAAACCAAAAAAAAAGAAAAAGAAGCCUAAAGCAGUUUCAGAUGAUUAUGAAGGCACUGAUGCUAAUGAUGGUGUUCAUGAAAUAACAAGUCGAGAUAGUCCAGUUUAUCCCAAAUGUUUGCUUGAUGAUGACCUUGUCCUGGGAGUUUACAUUCACCGAACUGAUCGACUAAAGUCAGAUUUUAUGAUUUCUCACCCAAUGGUAAAAAUUCACGUGGUUGAUGAGAAUACUGGUCAAUAUGUCAAGAAAGAUGAUAGUAAACGGCCUGCUUCAUCCUACUUUGAAAAAGACAAUGUGGAUUAUAUUCUUCCUAUUAUGACUCAGCCGUAUGAUUUUAAACAGUUAAAAUCAAGGCUUCCAGAAUGGGAAGAACAAAUUAUAUUUAAUGAAAACUUUCCCUAUUUGCUUCGAGAAUUUGAUGAGAGCCCUAAAGUCAUCCUGUUCUUCGAGAUUCUUGAUUUCUUAAGCAUGGAUGAAAUUAGGAAUAACUCAGAAAUUCAAAACCAAAAAUGUGGCUUUCGGAAAAUUGCCUGGGCAUUUCUCAGGCUUCUAGGAGCCAAUGGAAAUGUAAACAUCAAUUCAAAACUUCGCUUGCAGCUGUAUUACCCACCAGCAAAGCUUCGAUCCCACUUAGAUGUCGUUGAGGUUUUUGAAUGGUGGUCAAAAUGCUCAAGAAAUCGUUAUCCAUCUACGUUGUAUGUAACUGUAAGAGGAUUGAAAGUUCCAGAAUAUAUAAAGCCGUCUUACCGGUCUAUGAUGGUGCCUCAGGAGGAAAAAGGGAAACCAGUGCAUUGUGAACAACACCGUGAGUCAAGUUCAGUAGAGACAAAACCUGGAUUAGAAGAUUCAAAGGACGUAGUGAAGUGGAAACGAUUACCUGGGCAGGCUUGCCGUAUCCCAAACAAGCAGCUCUUCUCACUAAAUGCUGGAGAAAGGGGAUGUUUUUGUCUUGCUUUCUCUCACAAUGGAAGAAUACUAGCAGCAGCCUGUGCCAGCCGGGAUGGAUAUCCAAUUAUGUUAUAUGAAAUUCCUUCUGGACGUUUCAUGAGAGAAUUGUAUGGCCACCUCAAUAUCAUUUAUGAUCUUUGCUGGUCAAAAGAUGAUCGCUAUAUCCUUACUGCAUCAUCUGAUGGCACUGCCAGGAUAUGGAAAAAUGAAGUAGACAGUACAAAGACUUUCAGAGUUUUACCUCACCCUGCUUUUGUUUACACGGCUAAAUUCCAUCCAGCUGUAAAAGAGCUGGUGGUUACAGGAUGCUAUGAUUCUGUGAUACGCAUAUGGAAAGUUGAUAUGAGAGAGGAUAGUGCCAUAUUGAUCCGACAGUUUGACACACACAGGAGUUUCAUCAACUCUCUCUGUUUUGAUGUUGAAGGUCAUCACAUGUAUUCAGGAGACUGCAUGGGGGUGGUCGUGGUUUGGAACACCUACGUCAAAGUUAAUGAUGUGCAGCAUUCAGUGCGCCACUGGAGUGUAAAUAAGGAAAUUAAAGAGAGUGAGUUUAAGGGGAUUCCAAUAAGUUAUUUGGAGGUUCAUCCCAAUGGAAAACGUUUGUUAAUCCAUACCAAAGACAGUACUUUGAGAAUUAUGGAUCUCCGAAUAUUAGCAGCAAGGAAAUUUGUAGGAGCAGCAAAUUAUCGGGAGAAGAUUCAUAGUACUUUGACACCAUGUGGGACUUAUCUCUUUGCUGGAAGUGAGGAUGGGACAGUGUAUGCUUGGAAACCAGAAACAGGAGAACAAGUAGCCAUGUAUUCUGACCUGCCAUAUAAGUCACCCAUUCGAGACAUUGCUUAUCAUCCAUUUGAAAAUAUGGUUGCAUUUUGUGCAUUUGGGCAUAAUGAGCCAAUUCUUCUGUAUAUUUAUGACUUCCAGGUUGCUCAGCAAGAGGCUGAAAUGUUCAAAUGCUACAAUGGAACAUUUCCAUUCCCUGGAAUACACCAAAGUGAAGACGCGUUAUGUACCUGUCCUAAACUGCCUCAACAAGGCUCUUUUCAGAUUGAUGACUAUGUCCCCACUGAAGAUUCUUCAGUGAAAAUGCAGCUAGUGAAACAAAGGCUCAAUUCUGUUACAGAGGUGAUGCGAGCCAGUGCUGCAAAGGUCAACAAAAAUCUUUCAUUUACUUCAACAAUAUCCUCCUCACAACAAUCUAAGGCAAAACAGCCAAACAUGCUGGACUCUCGUCAGAUUCUGCAUCAGUUUGGUUUCACUCAGACCGGAAUUGUCAACGUAGAAACAGUGCCUUGUAACCAUCAUGUAGAUGGACCACCAACGGUAGUGGCUCUUUAUGACUACACAGCGAAUCGAUCAGAUGAACUAACCAUCCAUCGCGGAGACAUUAUCAGAGUGUUUUUCAAAGAUAAUGAAGACUGGUGGUAUGGCAGCUUAGGAAAGGGACAGGAAGGUUAUUUUCCAGCUAAUCAUGUGGCUAGUGAAACACUGUAUCAAGAACUGCCUCCAGAGGUAAAGGAGCGAUCCCCUCCUUUAUCCCCCAAGGAAAAAACCAAAAUGGGAAAACCUUCAUCUUCCAAAAAGUCAGUCCAUAAGGACAAGUCCAAGGAUUUUAAAUGGGGCUCAGACUCUAUGACACAUAAAGAGUUGAAGAAUAAUGAAGAGACAAAAAACCAAAUACACAGAAAUGAAAUGACAAAUGAAACCAAAUGGAAUUACUCUUCAAAGUUCACAACUUUCAGAAACUAAGGAAGAAAGGAAGAAUCCACUAUUCUCAUUCUUAUGAAAGAAUCUAGAAAAAUCAGAAGCAAGUAUGACCUGGCAUGGCACUACGUUCUUCAUGUGAUCGGUUUCCACUAAUAGGAUGCGUUCAUGUGAAAUUUGGAAGCAGAAAUGAGAUGGAAGAUAAUGUUUCUGUGCUGGUUGCUGCUGGCCAGCACCGUUGUGCUCCAAAGUCCAGUCACUUGCUGCGAUGAGAAUGGCGAGUGUGAGCUGGCGCAUACGCAUUUUGCUGUCACAGACGGAGUAGGCACAGCAUAGCUCUGGAGCCACUGUUUGCAGGGACAGGAGCGUCUGUCACAGGUAGGGCAGGCUCUUGCUGAAAUCAACAGUGCGAAAUGUGGCCUUUAGAUUCCCCACUUUUCUUAUUCCCAAAUGGGCCACUCUACAAUGUUGUUUCUUCCUGGAGGUUCACCUAGAGUCUGCUUCUCAUGUCCUUGCAAAAAAGGUUUAAAAAAACUCAGUUCCCUAUAUUAUGUCCCUUUCUGGUUGAAAUACCCAGAGAGCUCACUGUUUCCUGCACCUGAACCCCAACCAGUGCCUUCAUCUCUCUCAUAUUCAUCUUAUCCUUUCCAACCCUACCAGUCUGCCCUUAUUCAGGCCCUCUUUUUAAUCUCUCCCCUGCCCUCUCUAAUAUGGUUUCCAGAUGAGCAUCAACUCACGCUCUUUAUACAUUUAUUUUUUCUCUGUUCUUUACUCUCCACUCAGAAUUGUCCUCUUCCCUGUGGGUUCACAUUUUCCCAUGUAGAGUUAGUCUUUUCCCAAAGAGUUAGGUAACAUUAGCACAUCCUGUGGGAAAUUCAAUGCCAAAUAUCCAAUAUGGAAAGUCUAUAGAAUUUCUUUAAAUUCUCAAGAAGCUUACAUCCAUUUUCUACCUUCUGUUUCCAUUGAAUUCUUCAUUUCUUGAUUUCACACAUUCUGCAUAUUCUCAUAAAGCCUUUUUAUGCAUAGAAGACCUACUGAACAGCUGCAUACAAACUCUUUAAAAAAAAAAAAAGUACUGUAUCUUCUCUGCCAUGCAACUCAGUAUACCCUGAUUUCAUCCUUUCUUGUCUAUUCACUGCCCCUCACUCUCUCAGAGAGAAAAGACAAUUCUUUAAUUUUCCAAUGCACUUCAUUUCUUCCACCCUGUUACAGACCUUGUCUUAUCUUGCCACAUCCAAUUGUCCAAUCAAGGCUUUCUUCCUAUACAAUGACACUACUUCUCAAAGAAGACUUCUUCUAGAGCUCAGUUUGGGAAUAUGAGCUGACAAGAGCUAAAUUACUCUGCAUAAUUGUAUCGAGGCCCUGGGAGUCCAUGGGAGCAAUCUGGGAGAAGAGGGGGCGCAUGAAAAUGGCUGGAAGCCAGGACACUCCACGAGGUGGUCUGGCCAAUGAAAAUUCCCAGGGAAAUGAGGAAAGGACUUUCAAGGACAAACGUGUCUCACAUGGACUUAAAGUGCUGGAGAACAUGUAGUGUUUAGGAGCACAGGCUGUCCCUGCCUAUUCAGCUCCACCGCUAACCAGCUCUGUGAUUGGGAAGUUCCUUCAUCUCAUUUAGCUUCAAUUUCUUCUUUGACAAAUGGGAUAAUAACUGUUUUUUAAAAAGUCUAUUUCCAAUGACUACAGACGGAUCAAAUAAGAUAAUAGAUGAAAAAGGUCUUAAAAAACAAGCCCAUUGGAAACGUUGGCUAGGAUAUUGACACAAACAACAAAUCUGGGCAGAUGCUGUUACUGUUGUCUCGUAAAUCAUUCUUGUCUCCACAAAUCUUCAAUUAAAACUCUAUCGGUUUGUU